ACGAACGCUGGCGGCGUGCUUAACACAUGCACGUCGAACGGAAAGGCCCUGCUUUUGUGGGGUGCUCGAGUGGCGAACGGGUGAGUAACACGUGAGUAACCUGCCCUUGACUUUGGGAUAACUUCAGGAAACUGGGGCUAAUACCGGAUAGGAGCUCCUGCUGCAUGGUGGGGGUUGGAAAGUUUCGGCGGUUGGGGAUGGACUCGCGGCUUAUCAGCUUGUUGGUGGGGUAGUGGCUUACCAAGGCUUUGACGGGUAGCCGGCCUGAGAGGGUGACCGGCCACAUUGGGACUGAGAUACGGCCCAGACUCCUACGGGAGGCAGCAGUGGGGAAUAUUGCACAAUGGGCGGAAGCCUGAUGCAGCAACGCCGCGUGCGGGAUGACGGCCUUCGGGUUGUAAACCGCUUUCGCCUGUGACGAAGCGUGAGUGACGGUAAUGGGAAAAGAAGCACCGGCUAACUACGUG
rnacentral:rRNA from 1 species